AACGAACGCUGGCGGCAUGCUUAACACAUGCAAGUCGAACGAUGGCUUCGGCCAUAGUGGCGGACGGGUGAGUAGCGCGUGGGAACCUGCCCCGAGGUACGGAAUAACCGCUGGAAACGGCGGCUAAUACCGUAUGAGCCCUGAGGGGGAAAGAUUUAUCGCCUUGGGAGGGGCCCGCGUCCGAUUAGGUAGUUGGUGAGGUAAAGGCUCACCAAGCCUGCGAUCGGUAGCUGGUCUGAGAGGAUGAUCAGCCACACUGGGACUGAGACACGGCCCAGACUUCUACGGGAGGCAGCAGUGGGGAAUAUUGGACAAUGGGGGGCAACCCUGAUCCAGCAAUGCCGCGUGAGUGAUGAAGGCCUUCGGUUGGUAAAGCUCUUUCUACCACGGCGAUGAUGACGGUAGUGGGAGAAGAAGCCCCGGCUAACUUCGUGCCAGCAGCCGCGGUAAU
rnacentral:rRNA from 1 species